rnacentral:rRNA from 1 species
AUGCGAUCUGUCUCACAUGCGUGCGGUCAGCUACGAGGAAGGGCGAGAGUUCGCCAAGAGGCACGAUCUCAUGUUUACGGAGGCCUCUGCAAAACCACACACAAUGUUGAUGAGGCGUUCAUUCUGACCGCGGAAAGAAUAUACAAGAAAGUCCAAGAUGGUGUCCUUGACUUGCCUGAAAAGGUCAGUCUAAGUGCUUGCCUUGUCCAAUAUGCAGGCAAGGCAAAAGACUGGCUAUCCAUUGGUUGGCAACCAACUUACUUUGCCAAUCUCUUGAAACCUGGCAAUCUUUGGCAAGCUUUGGAGUCGUCAAAUCUCGGCAUGCCAAUAUGCUGGAUAGCCAAUUUUUGGCGCAAAAUGGGUCGAUGGAAGUAG